UCCUUCAGGGGCAUUUAUUUCCCGGUCAGAAAAGAAGCAGGGACAGGCGCCUCUGCCUGAGCCUGGCAGACACAACACGAAGACCGGGGAUGGGGCGGGGGAGGCACAGGAGACGGCUCUCAGCAAUGUGUGCACUUGGUCCCUUGUUUGUUCCUGGCUGGGUCAGGGAAGGCCUGCCGGGGGUGGUGGCACUGAGAGCCUGGGGGAACAGGCGCCAGGUGGGGUGAGUGAGGCUGUCCAUCGAGGGCUCUUGGGGGGGUGUGGGCUCUGGGCACUGCCCGCUGAGACAGAAAAGGCAGAGGCAGGACAAUACCCAGCCUCCUGGAUGGUACUGAGGUGACUUGAGUUUUGGCAAUUUGGCUUUCCCCAAGCCGCCGGAGCCAUCUCCACAGCCCUGUCCAGGGAAGGGGGCAGGCUGGCCAGGCACUGGUGGGCUGGGGAGCAGCAGCAGCACACCCCACGUGUCCCUGGGUCACUGG
rnacentral:lncRNA from 1 species